AUUGAACGCUGGCGGAAUGCUUUACACAUGCAAGUCGAACGGCAGCACGGGGGCAGCCCUGGUGGCGAGUGGCGAACGGGUGAGUAAUACAUCGGAACGUGCCCGGUCGUGGGGGAUAACGUAGCGAAAGUUACGCUAAUACCGCAUACGAUCUGAGGAUGAAAGCGGGGGACCUUCGGGCCUCGCGCGAUCGGAGCGGCCGAUGUCAGAUUAGGUAGUUGGUGGGGUAAAGGCCUACCAAGCCGACGAUCUGUAGCUGGUCUGAGAGGACGACCAGCCACACUGGGACUGAGACACGGCCCAGACUCCUACGGGAGGCAGCAGUGGGGAAUGUUGGACAAUGGGCGCAAGCCUGAUCCAGCCAUUCCGCGUGCAGGACGAAGGCCUUCGGGUUGUAAACUGCUUUUGUACGGAACGAAAAGGCUCUGGCUAAUACCUGGGGCUCAUGACGGUACCGUAAGAAUAAGCACCGGCUAACUACGUG
rnacentral:rRNA from 1 species